CGAAAUGUUUAUGUAUUAAUCGUUUUAUUGUCACAACGUGAGAGUUAAAAUUUCGAAAAUUACCAUAAAACGUGUGUGCUUAGGCACUCUUUGAUCGGGAGGCCAGUACUAUCUGGAAUGGCACAUGGAAAGGCAGUAUUUAAAAUGACAAAAACAGAAACGAAAAAAAAAGUACGAACACGCUUCGCACGAUGGGUGGACUACUGUUAUAGAUGAGAAGUUAGGAAGGUAAGAUAUAAAGGGGAAUUUAAUGCAUAUCUGUAAGCAAAGAUUAAUCAUUAACGAAAAAUGAUUCUGACCCCUGAGUAAAGCUCGGUUAAAAUAGUAUUGCUUUUUCAUAAAUACAUAUGUUAUAUUAUAGUAAAAUAAAUGUAAAUUGAAUACAAUGAUUUAGACAUUAACAUAAUUUGUUUCAUUUAGGUAGUAAAAAUAUUUUCCUAUUAUGCUAUCUCAUAUUUUUAAUUGAUCUAUAAAAUAGAAAAUAGGGAUUUACAAGUAGUGUUAUGUCAUUUUUAAUGUGCAGAAGGAAUAAUCUUUUAUGAGUUUCCCGACUCAUUUGGG